rnacentral:rRNA from 1 species
UACACACCGCCCGUCACACCAUGGAAGUUGGUUGCACCAGAAGUCGGUAGCUUAACCUUCGGGAGAGCGCCGCCCACGGUGUGGCUAAUGACUGGGGUG